GACGUAGGGGGCGAGCGUUGUCCGGAUUUACUGGGCGUAAAGAGCGUGUAGGCGGCCAAGCAGGUCCGUUGUGAAAACUGGAGGCUUAACCUCCAGACGUCGACGGAAACCGCGUGGCUAGAGUCCGGAAGAGGAGAGUGGAAUUCCUGGUGUAGCGGUGAAAUGCGCAGAUAUCAGGAAGAACACCAAUGGCGAAGGCAGCUCUCUGGGACGGUACUGACGCUGAGACGCGAAAGCGUGGGGAGCGAACAGG
rnacentral:rRNA from 1 species